rnacentral:rRNA from 1 species
GAUGAACGCUGACAGAAUGCUUAACACAUGCAAGUCCACUUGAACUUCGGUUUGGGUGGCGGACGGGUGAGUAACGCGUAAAGAACUUGCCUCACAGUUAGGGACAACAUUUGGAAACGAAUGCUAAUACCUGAUAUUAUGAUUUUAGGGCAUCCUAGAAUUAUGAAAGCUAUAUGCGCUGUGAGAGAGCUUUGCGUCCCAUUAGCUAGUUGGAGAGGUAACGGCUCACCAAGGCGAUGAUGGGUAGCCGGCCUGAGAGGGUGAACGGCCACAAGGGGAAUGAGACACGGCCCUUACUCCUACGGGAGGCAGCAGUGGGGAAUAUUGGACAAUGGACCAAGAGUCUGAUCCAGCAAUUCUGUGUGAACGAUGAAGUUUUUCGGAAUGUAAAGUGCUUUCAGUUGGGAAGAAAAAAAUGACGGUACCAACAGAAGAAGUGACGGCUAAAUACGUG